rnacentral:lncRNA from 1 species
AUAGGUUGAUGGAUAAUGGAGGAUGGACUACUUUGAGGUUUAUGCAAGCAGAUGGAUGACAAAGAAUAAAGCAUUUCAAAAUCUAUAUAAGCAGAUGAAUGACAAAGGAUGUAGUUCUUUUGAGAUCUGUACAGAUAAAUUAAUAAUAGAGAACAAAAUGCUUUGAAAUCUAUACAAGCAGAUGGGUGAUAGAGAAUGAAGUACUUAAGAUUUGUACAAGUAAAUAGAUGAUAAAAAAUAAAGUGCAGCACUUGAAGAUCCAUGCAAAUAGAUAAAUGACCGAGGAUAGUGUGCUUUAAGAUCUGUGCAGGUGGAUAGAUGAUAGAAGAUAUAGCAUUUUGAGGUUUGUUUUGGUGAAGGCAUGAUAGAGGAUGAAAUUAAUGUUUUCAGAUCUAUGUAGGUGAAUGGAUCACAAAUGAAGUUCUUUAAGAUCUAUGCUGGCGGUGGAUAACAAAGAAUGAAACUCUUUGAGAUCUAUGCAUGCGGAUGGAUGUUUGAAGCUAAAGCACAUUUAAAAUUUGUGUUAGCAAAUGAAUCUUAAAGAAUGAAGCACUUUAAGAUCUAUG